AACCCAUGAUGAGGACACUUACAAAGUAACUCCUUGAAUCGCUCCCAAGCCUCAUACAAAGACUCAUUAUCUAAUUGUUGGAAAAUGUUGAUCUCGUUCCUCAAAUU
rfam:Gossypium raimondii Chr07_contig_717, whole genome shotgun sequence.